UACGGAGGGAGCUAGCGUUGUUCGGAAUUACUGGGCGUAAAGCGCACGUAGGCGGCUUUGUAAGUUAGAGGUGAAAGCCUGGGGCUCAACUCCAGAACUGCCUUUAAAACUGCAUCGCCUGAAUCCAGGAGAGGUGAGUGGAAUUCCGAGUGUAGAGGUGAAAUUCGUAGAUAUUCGCAAGAACACCAGUGGCGAAGGCGGCUUACUGGUCCGGUUCUGACGCUGAGGUGCGAAAGCGUGGGGAGCAAACAGG
rnacentral:rRNA from 1 species